rnacentral:rRNA from 1 species
AACGAACGCUGGCGGCAGGCCUAACACAUGCAAGUCGAGCGGACCUUUCGGGGUCAGCGGCGGUAGUGUGAGUAACGCGUGGUAAUAUGCCCUUCUCUACGGAAUAGUCCUGGGAAACUGGGGGUAAUACCGUAUACGCUCAUUGUGGGUAAGAUCUAUCGGGGAAGGAUUAGCCCGCGUUAGAUUAGGUAGUUGGUGGGGUAAUGGCCUCCCAAGCCGACGAUCCAUAGCUGGUUUGAGAGGAUGAUCAGCCACGCUGGCAAUGAGACACGGCCCAGAAUCCGACGGGAGGCAGCAGUGGGGAAUCUUAGGCAAUGGGGGCAACCCUAAUCAAGCCAUGCCGCGUGAGUGAUGAAGGCGUUAGGGUUGUAAAGCUCUUUCAGCUGGGAAGAUAAUGACGGUACCAGCAGAAGAAGCCCCGGCUAACUCCGUG